rnacentral:tRNA from 1 species
GCCGACGUAGCUCAACGGUAGAGCACAGCUUUCGUAAAGCUGAGGUUGUGGGUUCGAAUCCCACCGUCGGCU